rnacentral:rRNA from 1 species
UACGUAGGUGGCAAGCGUUGUCCGGAUUUACUGGGCGUAAAGAGCGCGCAGGCGGUUGGAUAAGUCGAAUGUGAAAGCCCCCGGCUUAACUGGGGAGGGUCAUUCGAUACUGUUCAACUUGAAGGCAGGAGAGGGCAGCAGAAUUCCCGGUGUAGUGGUGAAAUGCGUAGAGAUCAGCAGGAACACCCGUGGCGAAGGCGGCCCCCUGGGCCGUACCUGACGCUGAGGCGCGAAGGCUAGGGGAGCGAACGGG